rnacentral:lncRNA from 1 species
UGCUUUUUUAUAGUAAGGUUGUAUCACCAAAACAAGACAUACAUAAAACUAAAUAAAUGAAGUAAACAUAUUUAGUAGAAAUGCUAUGCAUGGUGGUCCCAUUGUCUUGCUUGUUGGUUCUCCAAUAGGCUCUCCUGCCGCCCUCGCUUCCGCCCGCCAUGAUUUCUGGGCCAAAACCCAGCGCAGGACACGGUUCCGCGAUGUUCUCUUGGGAAAAUCUGGUAGGUACUCGGCGAGCGUGAAGGCGAAGAAGCAGAUUAUGGUGGGGACCUUUGAUACUAUCAAGGAAGCCAUCCAAGUACAAGCGGACAAGCUACACAUGCUUGAAGGUUCGAAGGCAAGCAAGCAGGGUCACAGAACCAAACUUCUAAAAGUCAAACAAAUGAUAAGUGUUUAUGCUUGAGCGAAUUGUUCAUAUUAAAUUGGAUUAGUUACAAAUCAAUUUGAACAUUAUGU